AUACGUAGGGGGCGAGCGUUGUCCGGAAUGAUUGGGCGUAAAGGGCGCGUAGGCGGCCCGGUAAGUCUGGAGUGAAAGUCCUGUUUUUAAGAUGGGAAUUGCUUUGGAUACUGUCGGGCUUGAGUGCAGGAGAGGUAAGUGGAAUUCCCAGUGUAGCGGUGAAAUGCGUAGAGAUUGGGAGGAACACCAGUGGCGAAGGCGACUUACUGGACUGUAACUGACGCUGAGGCGCGAAAGUGUGGGGAGCAAACAGGAUUAGAUACCCUGGUAGUCCACACUGUAAACGAUGAAUGCUAGGUGUAGGGGGUAUCGACUCCCUCUGUGCCGCAGUUAACACAAUAAGUAUUCCGCCUGGGGAGUACGGCCGCAAGGCUAAAACUCAAAGGAAUUGGCGGGG
rnacentral:rRNA from 1 species